UUGUUUUAUCACCUAGGCUGGAAUGCAGUGGAACCUGCUUAGCUCACUGUAGCCUUGAACUGCUGGGCUCAAGCAGUCCUCCUGUUUUGGCCUCUGAAGCAACUGGGACUACAGGUAUCGGCCUGGAGUGAUUCCAAGCUCUCCUGGAACAGGAGGUGCCCCCACUCUGGGCAUAAAUAUCUCUCCCUCAUCCCUCGCAGACAACGAUCUUUGAGUACCAUCCAGUCAUAACAUAGACAUGGCCAAGGUAACGGAGGUCAACGUGAAAGCUGCUGAAUCUCUUAUAACAACUUUCAGGACACUUGGUGCAUGCCGUUUUGAAACACCUCAAGCUGAGCCUGUUGUUCUGAAAUGUCAGAAUGUUCCAUUCUGGAAGAGACCCGAGGAAUGUGUGCAUACAGAGAAAAGGCCACGUGAGGACACAGGGAGAAGAAGCUGUCUGCAAGCCAAGGAGAGAGGCCUCAGGAGAAACCAAGGCUACCAACACCUUGGUCUUGGACUUCCAGCUUUCAGAACAGUGAGAAAAGAAACCUCUGUUGCUAAAGCCACCCAGACUGUGGUAUUUUGUUAUG